GUUAAUUUUUAAAACCAAAAAAUGACAGCUAAUGAGCUAAAGCAGAAUUAAAUCUGCAAAUCACGCGUUUUCUCAAACCUCCCUUCCCCUCCUUCACGAAAAUAUUUGAUUUAAGCGCCAGUGACAAUUGAGAGGGUUUCGAAGCAGCCAUUCAUGGAGGAUUACUCUGUCUCUUUCAAGCGCUUAAUUAGUAUGGUGACUGACUACUCUCGACCUGUCACUUUCUUUCUCUCCGAUCCCCUUCAAAUCUCAGGAAAGUUAUGAGAGAGGCUGCUUCUGCAGGCAGAGAUGCAGAGCGAGUGACACUUAGACUAGAAAUCGAAGUUGAGGUAAUAAAACCUUUCAUUACUUGACAUUGUUCAUGUUUUGAGGCCAGCAUGAAAAGUGAGAAAAAGGGUUCGGGGGGUAUUGCUUUGUUUAUGAUGAUUUUGCACUUACCCCUUUCUGCUCAUUCCCUCGAAACAUAAUGUUUUAAUAGAAAUCUGCACCAUUAAAUAUUUGCCUCGAUCUUCUUAAGCAAGACCUAUGUGGUUUGUAAAAGGGUUAAUAUGUUAAGACUAUCUAGUUAUAGUUACAUAUCAAGACCAGUGGGGCUUUCGUGCUUCCUAAUUCUGAGAUUUGAUGCUUUGAUAUACAUGUUGACCUGACUUCCUAGCUAUAUUCAAAAUUGAUGCUUUGAUUUAUAUGCUAACGAAAUAAUUUUUCGUUAUUGUUUUCCUUGAUAUUUAUGAAGGCAAACAAUAUCGAUGCCAAGAAGCAUCUUGGAAGAAAUUAGACAACAUGAGCUUAUAUAACAGUGAAGCGAAUCCUCAAACAUCAAACCAUAUCUUACUGAAUAAUCUGAGGGAAUCAAGUAUCCUGUGGAAUCCAUCUAAAAACUGUUGUAGACUCUUAUGUUUGUUCUGAUUCCCAACAAUAUAUUUGAGUGUUAGUAAUUAGAUUAAUCCAGAAUAAAAAUGCAUGGAGAAAUUGAUUCUUAGGAAGGCUUUUGAUGAUGAGAAUCAGGCAAGCAGCCUUACUUAAUUGCCAAAGGUAACCAAUUCAUUCAACUCUGUAAACUGUUAAAAAGAGUAGUUUAUGUUAGCAUCUGUAACCUGAGGCCUUUCUGCUUCAACACAUUUUUUACAGGCAGAAGGAGUAAUUCAGUUAUGGUGUAGGAUGCAGUUGAAUUUACAGACUCAAAGCGCAUGCUGAACAACAAGCAACUUCUUUAGAACACCAAAACACAUACUCCAUAAUCAUUUUUUUUAAUGUAAUCUACACAACAAUGUCAAAUGAUUGGCGCUUAAAUUUAAUUUCGGAAUUGGUUCUUGCAUGUGACAUAUAAGAUGAUGCAGCAAGCGGAGCAUAUCUUCUCACAUAACUCUCCAAAGACAAUGCUUUCAUAUCUUUGACGGUUGGUAAUUGUAAAGGGCCAGAUAAUUUUCUUUGGUGGGUUUCAAGUUGAGGCUAUAAGCCUAUGAUCGAAGAUGCUACUGCUGGGAGUUCAGAACUAUGUGAUGAGUUCUCAAUUGGUCAGAAUUGGUAACAUAGUUGACAACUUUGAAGUGAAAUUUACCAGCCUUGCAGGAUCCAAGUUACAGGGCUUUUUGUGCAAUCAAUUUGGCUGGUGUUCACCGUGCAAUCAUCAUAGCGAGGAAUUUCAGUCUUCUGAUUGGAUUAUGUGUGUUUACGGAGGAGGAAUAACACAUAACAUAAUCAUAACCUAAAGGAGAGGAACUUAUACUGAUAUUUGAAGAUUAUUUAGAACUUAAACAUACAGAUUAUCUUUUAUGAUGAAUGGAUGUGAUUUUAUGGUUUCAUCUAAAUGAUGUAAAUGUUUUUUUCCAGGAAUGAAAUUACCUUUUGUUUUCA